AGCGGGCCAAGGGAGUAAAGGGGACUCGGCCGCCAUGUUAGGAGCGCGGGGAAGGUUCCGCCGCGCCGGCUGAGGUUUUAGGGAACGCGGGAGCCGAGAGGUGGUGCAGAGGGGACGGUGAGGAGGAGGACAAGCGGGCCGAAGAGCCUGGGGUUCCGAACCUGGGUACCGGGGUGGGAGGGGCUGGAAGCGGUACCUGGGGACUGAGUCGGACGAGCCCGGCUAGUGGCGGCAUCAGAGGCCGAGUGGGCCUCGGCCUCAGGGUCCUGCAGAGUCUAUCUACACUAUGAAAAGAUGGGAAAUUUCUUCCUGAAAGUGUCUGAAGGGCUAAAAAUGCUGAUAUAUUUGUGCUGUUAAACGUUUCAUUUUGCAUGUUAUUGUGAAAACAAAAGUAACGAAUUACUGGGUCGGUAGAGCUAUGCACUUCACCUGUUAGGAGUUAAAAUUAUUGCUGAUAAAUGGAUUAUAUCAAAGAAAGGCUAGGCAGAGUGAUUACAAAAGACAAAAACAUGGUAGAAACAUCACCCAGAUGUAUGCAGAUGACAAUUACAAAAAGAGUUUUAUGAAGAAUGAUCUUAUAUAUGUCAUGCUGCAGAUAAAUCAGAUGAGUAGGUUUGUUUCUUUUCUUUUCUUUUUUUUUUUUUUUUUUUUUUGCUUUUUAGGGCCACACCCACAGCACAUGUCAGUUCUCAGGCUAGGGGUUUAGAGCUGUAGCUGCUGGCCUACAUCACCUCUGGGACAUAAACUGCAGUUCACGGCAACACCCGAUAACUGACUUACUGAGCAAGGCCAGGGAUUGAACCCGCAUCCUCAUGGUUACUAGUCGGAUUUGUUUCUGCUGUGCCACGACAGGAACUCCAGGUCUGUUUUUUGUUUGUUUUUUGCUUUUUAGGGCCAUACCCGUGGCAUAUGGAGGUUCCCAGGCUAGGGGUCGAAUCAGAGCUACACCUGCCAGCCUACACCACAGCCAUUCCAGAUCCCAGCCAAGUCUGCAACAUACACCAUAGCUCAAGGCAACGCUGGAUCCUUAACCCACUUAGCGAGAAGUCCAGGGAUCAAACCCGCAACCUCAUGGUUCCUAGUCGGAUUUGUUUCCAGUGUGCCACGAUGGGAACUCCUGUUUCAUUUUUAAACAAAGGUAAUAUGUAUUAGUCUCACUUGUCCAUGAAUACAAUAAUGAGAAAGGCUCAUGAAAUUAUUUGUUAUCCAGAAAUAACCUUUGCAAGUAAUGUUGGUAAGUAUAGGAAAAGGAAAAAAUCUUUACCAUUUUCUUUCUCAUCUUCAGUAUAACUGUGGUAUUUUAAGCUUAAUAGAGAUAAACUGAACAGAUUUACAUUUAGACUUAGUUUCACAUUCUUACAGAUUAUUUUUAGGGCUUGGUGAAUCAGGAGUGUUUUUAUGUCUUAGACAAACUUUAUUUUGUAAGAUACUUCUUUAUAUAAGCAAUAACCUCAAUUUGAGUUACUGUGGAAGACAAAUUUGUGAAGGAAAUGGAACCCAGCAGAUUUCUCAGAAAUAGUAUAUGUGAGAAACGCGACUUGUAUAAUGCAGUGAUUUCUUUAAUUCGUCAUAUGUUUGGGUAAUUAGAAAUUUUUCCAGCCUUAUAGUCAUUGAACAUCUAACCAUAAAGAAAUGAGACAAAUCUAGUUAAUAGCCCUAAAAACAACCCCAUGACUCUUAGGAAAAAAGAAUCCUGGCACUCCAUAGCAAUUUUAUUUACAACACUAGUAUUCGAGAAGUUGGUGAUGCCAGCUUCUGAAAGAAUAACCUCAGUGUCCUGGAGAAAACUUGGAUUAGGAAAAGUGAAAUUAGAAAUGCCUUCAGUAGAUAAAGAAACCUACCUUCUUUCUACCUCUCAAAAUUUGAUUUGUAUUAUAAAUAGCUUGUUAAAAGAGUAUUGAGUUACUUCUGUUACAGCAAGGGUUUUUGCAACGGGGCUAAGUGUCUGGAUUGCCUAUAGAACUCUAGAAGUGUUUAGCUUAUUGCCCACGCAUCCUAGCUGAAUUAUUCUCCAGGGUUGUAACCAGCUGUUGUGUAUUUUUAAAAUACUGUAGGUGAGUGUACAGAGGUAGAGUAGAGCAGCCCUCCACAUCCCGUAUUUUUUGUGGUGUGUCACACAAUAACAAAAGUUUUAGCAAAUAUUUUAUUACUAAUUGUACUCAUAAAUGUACUUUGAAGAUGUAUAGAUGACCUAAGGAUCAAUUUAUACAUGGUAGUUCCUGGAGAAGAUGGUAGCUUCCUGGAGAUUUCUUAGAGUGAAGGUUUAGUCUAAUACUAAGAAAGUCUGAUCAUAAGAGACACUUGGUCAGUAAGAGUGCAAAGCUGUGACAGUUAUGGUAAAGUAACAGAUAUUUAAAAGAAACAAGUAUCUGGACAUGAGAAUUUUCUGAAAAUAAUUUUGCUUUAGUAACUCCUUGCCCUAAACCCUGAUUUUUAAAAACUUAUUGAUGUUAUUGUAGUAUUUGUGGUGUUUGGGUGCAUGAUAUAUAAUAAUAUGAGUGUCCUUUUUUUAGCUCCAGAUAUUUUGACUCAGUUACUAAAUUUGUGAUCUUUAUAUUCAAAAUUCUUAGCAGUCUUUCAUCCAUAACUGCUGAAGAAUAAAAACAUGAGAAAGAGAGCAACUAUAUAAAAAUUUUAAAGCAGCCCCAAGAAUCCAACCCUUAAUGAAUCCUCCUCCUUUAGAGGAGGAAGGUCCUCUUGGAAAUGGUUAUGUAAAGCUGACUUUAGUGUCUUAAACCAUAUUAGUGGCCUCUGGAUUCCUGCUGUUUCAGUUUCAAAUCUAUAUUAAAUGGCUUGCUAGUUUUUUACAGAAAUUAGUAACAUUUUAAGCUUCAGUGGUAGUAGCAGCCUCUUGGUGAGGAUUAAACAGAGUUAUGCGAAGCAUCUAGUAGAGGACCUUGGACCUUGGAACUUGUAAGUUUGUUGUGGAUUUUUUUAAGUUUUUAAAAAGUUGUCUCGAGUACUUAGGACAUAAAGACAGGGAUUACCUCAGAUGAACUCUUAGUGAGUUAUUGGUAAGUCAUACUUCAAUGACCGAAUUCUUAGUAGAAUACAUUUCCAGUUUUUUCCUCUGAUAAAGUGAUACAGGGCAGCAGGGGUUUUUUUUAACCCAUACCACAUAAGGAAUGUAAAAUUCCUGUUACUGAGAUCAUCUUAGGGCCUGGGGUGGCUGAAGUGGAAAAAAUUACAUAACAAUAAAAUUUUGCUUGUGUACCUGUGUAGUUCAAAAAAGGCCCACAAUUGAUUAUGAAAAUUAGACCCUGUCUCCCUUCAUUAAGAAUCACUAUAAAUUCUCCAAAAGAUGAUAUUUAGAGUUCCCGUUAUGGCUUAGCAAGUUAAGGACCCGUUGUCUCUGUGAGGUUGUCGGUUGCUUCAUAACCUCAUUCACUUGGGUAAGGAUCUAGCAUUGCCACAAGCUACAACUUAGAUCACAGAUUCAGCUAUGUCACAAGCCCCAGCUGCAGCUCUGAUUUGACCCCUAGCCUAGGAACUUCCAUAUGCCACAGGUGUGGCGGUAAAAAGAAUAAAUAAAUAAGAUGAUAUUCUAAAUCAUAAAAAAAAUGUUAGAAUUGUUUCAUGCCUCAAAAAGUUCUAAAAUAAUGCUUUUAUAUUUCAGGCUAUUCAAUGCAAGAGAACUAUUAGUUAUCUGCCUUUCUGUAUCUCUUCCCAGAUCAAAUCAAUUUUCUUAACAUUCUCAGAAAUGAAAGGUGAUGUAAACCCAGCAGUUAAAGUAAAAAUUAUUUUAACCUGAUCACAGAAUUGAGUUAAGAUAACCAAACUUAAGGGAGAAAAUGAAGAACAUUUUAACAAAAGUUCUCAUUAUAUCGUAACCUUAUGGGAGUUCCUGUUGUGGCUCAGCGGAAACAAAUCUGACUAGCAUCCAUGAGGACGCAGGUUUGAUCCCUGGCCUCACUUAGUGGGUUAAGGAUCCAGUGUUGCGGUGAGUUGCAGUGAGCUGUGGUGUAGGUUGCAAACAUGGCUUAGAUCUGGCGUGGCUGUGGCUGUGGCGUAGGCCAGCAGCUACAGCUCCAAUUAAACCCCUGAGCUGGGAACCUCCAUAUGCCUUGGUUGUGGCCCUAAAAAGACAAAAAAACCAACAUGUAUAUGUAUUAUAACCUUAUAUUGAGUUAAGUUCUGCUAUGGUGUAUAUUUCUGGAGGGUUUUUUGUUUUGUUUUGGCCCUUGCCUGGGACAUGUGGAAGUUCCUGGGCUAGGGAUCUCAGCAGUGACAUCCUGGAGUCCUUACCCUGCUGUGCCACAGGGAAACUCCUAUAGUAUGUAUUUCUAAAGUGGACACAGAUGAGCAUGCCAAACAAUCAGCAGUUGGAGUUUCUCCAGAGAAUACCUUUAACUCAUUCUGAAAACUAUAAUAUUUCAUAUUUUGAACAGUUUACUUUGUGUUAACGAUAUUCAGAAAACUAAUACUUGUUUUCUAAUCUUGUUUUAGUUGACCCACUGUUGUGUUUGUAAGAAGUUGACAUAAUUUUAGCUCCUGGAUUUAGUUGCUGCAAAAGGUAAAUGCAGUAAAUAUCCCAAGGUCAAGAUGUAAAAUCGAAAUGUCAGUAGCUAAUGAUUAAUCAGAAAAGUGAGCCCUCCUACAGUUUUUCUCAGUUUUUAAUGGGUUUGGAUAAAGCGGCACUGGAAAUCAUUUCAAGAACAAGUAUAUAAAUUUAGUCCAAUAUAAAUAUGUUCGUGAAUAUAGCCACUCAUGGAAACUACAGAGAUACACAAUUGUAAGCAGUUAUGUAAGUAGGUACUAUUCGUAAUUAAUAUGAUAUGGACUCUGAUGAUGCCCUAUGUUUUUGAACUUGCUGUAAAGGUGAAUCCUCAGUUCUGUCUUAAACACUUUAGGAAAUGCUCAUCAGUCACCCUCCUCACCCUUAACUCACGAUUUGAUGAAUUUGGCACAUAAGUGGUUACAAAUGGAAUAGCCUAGGGACUUGUUUUGAGCAACUCCACCACCAGAAGGUAAAACUCAGGAACCAUAAUCCUUGACAUAACCUAACCUAUUUUUUUCUUCACUUUGAGCCAAAGAAAAACUCAGCUUUACUCCUUCUUUACCCUGCAUUACCAGACUUAACCAUUAAUGUUGUAUUACAUUGGAUCUUUCAUAGUUUCUUAGCAAUUGUCCCCAAAGUUUAUUUUUUUGGCUUUGCCCACAGCAUACAGAAGUUCAUGGGCCAGGGACUGAACCCACGCCACAGCUGCAGCCAGUGCCACAUCAGUGACAACACAGGAUCUUUUCCCAGCUAGGCCACCAGGGAACUGCAAUAAAAACUUAUUUUAAGUUUUAAACAUGCUAAAAUAAAGCAGUUGCUUAAAGGGUAACAUACAAAAGUAUAUCUUAGCUAUGGGCAUGGCCCCAAAAAAAAGGUUUGGCUCUGAAAGAGGUGAGAAAUAAUAGUUUACAGAGGGCAUGUGGCAUCGAAAAAAUUUUAUAUUUAAAUCUUCUCCUUCCAGAUCAAAGUCAGGUUCUACUUCAGGACAUUCUUAUCAUUUCCCAGAGGAAUUAGGACUUAAAAUUUUACUUUGGCUUGAAGUCAAGUCAGGGGAAGAUAUGGAAGAUUUCUGAAGUACUUUUGUGGUUUUUUUCUCCAUGACACUCAGUGCUUUUCAUUUGAUUUAUUUUUUCCUUCCCAGUUUUCAAUUCUUUGUAAAUCUUUCAUUUAACCAAAUUUGUACUCUUAAGAAUAGUGGUUUUUGGAGUUCCUGUCGUGGCGCAGUGGUUAACGAAUCCGACUAGGAACCAUGAGGUUGCGGGUUCGGUCCCUGCCCUUGCUCAGUGGGUUAACGAUCCGGCGUUGCCGUGAGCUGUGGUGUAGGUUGCAGACGCGGCUCGGAUCCCGCGUUGCUGUGGCUCUGGUGUAGGCCAGGAGCUACAGCUCCGAUUCAACCCCUAGCCUUGGAACCUCCAUAUGCCGAGGGAGCGGCCCAAGAAAUAGCAACAACAACAACAACAACAAAGACAAAAGACAAAAAAAAAAAAAAAAAAAAAAAGUUUAAAGAAUAGUGGUUUUUAUGACGAUUCCCAAAAACACAGCAAUGACCCCUUUCUUGAAAAAUGACUUGUUCUAAAAGAUAAUGUCUGCCCUUGGUACCUGUAUCAUUAAUACUUUCUAGCCAGAUUGACUGGGAUCCUUACAGGCACUUUCAGAGAAAAUAGUUGAUGCUCAUUUGAACCAGGAGUUUGGGCUUGAACAGGACUUGUCUGUUUCUUAUCCAGCUAUGAUUUUAUCAGUAUUCUUUACCUAGAGGAGGAGAAAUCUGAGAUGGGCCAAUUCUUUAGAUUACUUAAGUGAGGAGGGUUUGAUUGUGGAAAUGCAGAGAAAAGCACAUAACACCUUAGGGCAACCAAGCCCUCCACAAAAAAAUAGAAAAUCCAAUUUUGACAGUAUGAACUAAAUUUUCCACUACCUGAAUUUGCAUUCCAGUAAUGUAAAUGAUCUGCUCUUUCCCUUUGGGAGUUUAAUUGGCAGGAUAAAUGGAAAGAUGUCAGCAAAAGAAAGAAUCUAAGGCAGAUGAGAUUUGGUAUAAUCAAAAAAUAUAUCAAAGGAAGUUGAAUCUUGGCACAGUAAUUUAGUAUGUCCAAAUGUGAUUUCGUUGCUUUUCAUGAGUCAUGCACCAGAAGGAAUAACCUGAGUAAUUUUCAAGAAAAGACACACUUGUGGCUACCAGUGAAUUGUCCUCUGCUCUAAGUUACAUCUUGGAUUGCAGUAUAUAGUGCAAGGCUGUGUACAUUCAGCCUGAUGCCCCAAUUUAGGCCGACACUUGUCUAGGCUGACAACCUAUUUCUAGCAAAUAAAAGACUAUCCCACAAUCUCCCACUUUGACCACUUAGAAGGAAAGAAAGAACAGUGUUAACAGAAGUAAUUGUUUAUUGUCAUGGACCAAAGUUAUACCCAAUUCAGAAAGUUAUUUGACACCCUUGUUUACUGCUGAGUUAAUUAUUUAAGGUAGUUACUCAUUUAAUUGUUAAUUAUUAAUACCUGCUGAAUGAUCUGGUAAAGAUACAAACUUCAUAUAGUCUGGUCAUUUGUGUACCUGAGACCAUUCUGCUUUUCAGUAAUCUAAGUAGAAACUCAGAAGUUGUGUGUGACCCAUUGUAGCUUGAAACAACCCUAGAUUUCUAGAAUAUAUCUUGAUACUGUGUAGAGUUCACUUAAAAUACAUUUAGCAAUUCAGAUAACAGAAAGGUAAUUCUCCCAAGAGCGCUAGCAGGAACAUGCUGUUAAAAUAUUUUUGUGCUAGUUGAGGUCAGAGUAGACCUACAGCCUAUCUGUCAUAUUGUAUUUGUUUAUAUUGUGCAUUAUGAUAGUUAAAUCCACAUAGGAUCAUCUCUGUAGGACACUGAGCAUUUGUUUAGUUGUUGAGAGCAUGGGCUUUAGCAACAGACCUGGGUCUGAAUCGCAACACUUAAUGUGACCUUUGGCAUAACCAUCAGUUUGAGAUUUUGAAUUCUAUAGAAAAUAAUAUUUGACAGCUUUAUUCAGUUUUCCUGAGAAUUAAGGAAGUAAUUUGAAACUUAAUAAAACACUCAAAAGGUGGUAUAGUGUAGAGUUUAGAGGAUGGUCUCCAAGCCAGUCAGCCUGGGUUGAAAUCACACUUAAAUUAUGCAAAGUAUGACUGUGCUUUGAUGUUCUAAGUUAAUGACCCAUCAGUUUUUAACUGUUUGCUACAUACCUAGUUUAGUAAAUGGUACUUUAUAUACUGUAUAAAUAUUUUGUGUGUAACCUAUAUGUGAUUUUUUCUUUGCAGCUGUAUCCACAGCCUAUGGAAGUUCACAGGCUAGGGGUUGAAUCAGAGCUGCAGCUGCUGGCCUAUACCACAGCCACAGUAGCACUGGAUUCUUAAGCCAUUGAGCAAGACCAGGGAUUGAACCUGUAUCUUCAUAGGUACUAUGUAGGGUUCCUAACCCACUGAACCACAACAGAAACUCCUAUAUGUGAUAUAUGUACCAUGAUUUACAAUUAAUUGUGGGACCCCAUGGAAGAAGGUAAAGAAAAUUUGUCUAAAAUAAAACCAUUUUCAGAGUUUGUAAAUACCUAAUGUUAGUUCAGGCUUUAUGGCCCACUUUAAGAAUAUUAGGUCUCUAAAAAAUUCCAGAGGCAUAGCUUGAAUUAACCUUGUAGUCAGGCCUGGGUUCUAGAUUCCUGGUCAAAUAUAUUGGUAAGGUGUCAGCUUAGGCAGUUUAACUUUUUGAAUCUGUUCCUUUAAAAAUUCGGUAACACAGAACGCCAAAUACAUAGCUUUCUGUAAUGUUAGUUGUAUAGUGUAGUCUACAGGCUUCCAGCAUCAGAAUCUCCUGGGACACAUGCAAAAAAUGCAAAUUCUAGUGUCCCAACCUAGAUAUGCUGCUUAAAAAAUCUGUGGGUGAGAUCUGGGGAUCUGUAGGCUUAAUAAACCAGAUGAUUCCGGAGUUCCCGUCGUGGCGCAGUGGUUAACGAAUCCAACUAGGAACCGUGAGGUUGCGGGUUCGGUCCCUACCCUUGCUCAGUGGGUUAAGGAUCCGGCGUUGCCGUGAGCUGUGGUGUAGGUUGCAGACGCGGCUUGGAUCCCACGUUGCUGUGGCUCUGGCGUAGGCCAGUGGCUAUAUCUCCUAUUGGACCCCUAGCCUGGGAACCUCCAUAUGCCACGGGAGCGGCCCAAAGAAAUAGCAAAAAGACAAAAAAAAAAUAAUAAAAAUUAAAAAAAAAAUAAGCUAGAUGAUUCCUCUUCACUUAGUUUUACUUGAAACAUCAAGGUAAAAUAACUUUUACCAAAGUCAGGCCUCUAUAAAUAGACUCCCUCGCGUUUUAGUGUUCCUAAUUCACUCUUUACACUGUACUCAGUACUUGCUGCAGUUCUAAGACACCGAUGACCAAACUUUGUAGAUGUUUCUUUGUACAUAUAUUCAAUGAAAAAUAUAAUCCAACCACAUCAACAAGUAUUGCUUAAUUCAGGUGUAUAAGAAAGUUUAUUUUAGGAAAGUGAACAAACUAUAUGACCCAUCUCUUCAUCUAAAUUGUUAAAUUAAGGAGUUCCAGUUGUGGCGCGGUGGUUAACGAACCCGACUAGGAACCAUGAGGUUGCGGAUUCGAUCCCUGGCCUUGCUCAGUGGGUUACAGAUCCAGCAUUGCCAUGAGCUGUGGCAUAGGUCACGGACGUGGCUCAGAUCCCGAGUUGCUGUAGCUCUGGCAUAGACCGGUGGCUACAGCUCCGAUUAGACUCCUAGCCUGGGAGCCUCCAUAUGCCUCAGGUGCAGCCCUAGAAAAGACCAAAAAUAAAUAAAUAAAUUGUUAGAUUAAAAUUUUUUUAAUGAAAAGAAGCCCUACAGUGCUCUAUUACAGACAUCCAAAGUAUCACUGUUUGGGGAUGGGGGAAAGUUUCAACCAGGUCUAAAUCCAUUUCUUUGAUUCUGUGCAUACGAUUGAGUAGUUACUCAGUAAAGGUCUGUUGAGGUGUAAAGACGACUUUGAGAAGUUCUCGUUGUAGCUCAGCAGAAGCGAGUCUGACUAGUAACCAUGAGGAUGUGGAUUCAGUCUCUGCUCUUGCUCAGUGGGUUGGGGAUCCUGUGUUACCUUGAGCUCUGGUGUGGGUCGCAGACACAGUUUGGAUCUGGCAUGACUGUGGCAUAGGCUAGCAACUGUAGCCUCAAUUAGACCCCUAGCCUGGGAACUUCCAUGUGCCACGGGUGCAGCCCUAAAAAGCAAAAAAAAAAAAAAAAGAUGAUUCUGCCGUUCCCAUUGUGGUGCAGCAGAAAUGAAUCCUACUAGGAACCAUGAGGUUGUGAGUUCGAUCCCUGACCUUGCUCAGGGGGUUAAGGGUCUAGUGUUGCCAUGAGCUGUGGCGUAGCUUGCCAACAUGGCUCAGAUCCUACAUUGCUGUGGCUGUGGCAUAGGCUCACAGCUGUAGCUCCGAUUUGACCCUUAGUCUGGAAAUCUCCAUAGGCUGCAAGUGCAGCCCUAAAAAGAAAAGGAAAAAAAAAAAAAAAAAGCAAAAGAUGACUUUGACCCUCUAGACCAUUAAACUCAACCUUUUUAGUGUAGUGGCGUCAAUCUGGUGAGGUCACUGGAUCACUUUUCAGAAAAAGAUGUUUUUGGAAAGCUUAAAGUACAGUACAUUGAAUUACAAAGAGAGACUAAUUUUGAAAUAAUUAUCAGAGUUUUUAAACUUAAUAUGUUUUAUUGACUCAUUAACAAGAUCUAAGAGUGGCUGUGAUUACUACUGUAAUUUCAGCAUAGUGAACAUAAGUCAUUUCAGGUUAUCUGCAACAGUCGUAAUAGGGAAAGAGCAGAAUUCGGCUAUGAUAGUCACAUUUACUGUGGGUAGUUCUGUGAUCUGUUGCCUGCAUUCAAGUUUUUUUAGAAAUUAUUGAAAAUAGAGAGGUAAUUCUUCCCCUAUCGAAGUUCAUGGACCCCAGAUUUCUGUUUAUAAACCCCUGAUUAAGAACCCUGGCUAACCGUUUAAUGAUAGAAACUUUCUUUUCCACGGUUGUAUGCAAUGCCUGAUAAAGUGUUUUGUUUUUUUUGGAGUUCCUGUCUUGGUGGAGCAGAAACAAAUCCAACUAGGAACCAUGAGGUUGCAGGUUCCAUCUUUGGCCUUGCUCAGUGGGUUAAGGAUCCAGUGUUGCCAUGAGCUGUGGUGUCGGUCGCAGAUGCAGCUUGGAUUUGGUGUUGCUAUGGCUGUGGUAUAGGCCAACAGCUGUAGCUCCGAUUGGACCCCUAGCCUCGGAACCUCCAUAUACCGAGGGUGCAGCCCUAAGAAGCAAAAAAAAAAAAGUUUUUUUUUUUUUGCUGCACCCCUGCCAUGCAAAAGUUCCUGGACCAGGGGUACAACCUGAGCCACAGCAGUGACAAUGCCAAACCUUAACUCCUAGGCCACCAGGGAAUUCCUAAAUCUUUUUUCUUUUUCUUUUUUUUUUUUUUUUUUUUUUUGCUUUUUGCUUUUUAGGGACGUACCUGUGGCAUAUGGAAAUACCCAUGCUAGGGGUCGAAUAGGAGCUACAGCCAUUGGCCUACACUACAGCUCAUGGCAACACUGGAUCCCCAACUCACCGAGUGAGGCCAGGGAUUGAACCCUCAUCCUCAUGGAUAUUAGUGGGAUUUGUUUCCUCUGCACCACAAUGGUAACUACCUAAAUCACGUUUUUAAAAGUCUCUUGAAAAUAAUUAUUUUUAAAACUUUAAAUAUAUAUAAGCUACAAUUUAUGCUGCAGUAUUCUCUGCUUUGGUCACUGUUCUUGGUAUCUUUUCUAUUCUACCCUUUAAGAAAAACAUUUCAAGGUUUCUGGGGUUUGUGUUGGUAGUUUACAGCUUAAAGGAUUUUCUGAUGCCCAUUCUCUUAGCUACACCCAUCAGUAUCAGUGGGUAUGUUUUCAUAUAGCUUGUUUAGACUAAGAAGAUGUUCAUGAAAGUGAAAUGAUUUUCAGGUGCUUUUGAUUCAUGUGAGGAGCACUAGAACAAUAUCUCAAUUCAUGAUACAGAUGCAUAUUUCAAUUCUGAUUCAAGCACUCAAGUUGGUCAAUCCAUAACUUGGAGAAGGUAAAUAGAACUUCUUUUACAUGUAAAGAAAUUGGGUAUCAGAGAAGUAAAACCUGGCUUUGCCUGUACUGAGAUGAAACCAUUUAUAGGCUUUACCUGUGCUACAUAGUGUGAGCAUUCAUUCACUUCACUACAGAAAUAGGUUUAGAUCACAGCAUGCUGCCCCAGAGCCUGCUGGAAACAUUCUAUGAUACACAGUAUCCAUAUGGACCUUACUGCCAUAAACUCUGAAUUCUCAGUCACACCUGGUCCCAAGGAUUUUCAGUAAGGGAUUGUUGACCUAUAGUUAUUUUCUUUCCAGAAUAGUCAUUCAGGCAAUUUGGUACUUAGAAGCAUAAAUAUAGUGAUGAUAUAUUCUAAAUAUUACAGAACAAUUCUGAUUUCCAGAAUUCCUUUUUAACUUGUAGUUUCUGUGCAAGCCACAGGACACGAUUUUAUAUUUUGAAAGUUAUGAAUAUACUUAUUAUUAGACCUACAAUUCAAACCAGUGUGUAAUUGUACACCAUUAGAGAAAAUUAGAAAACAUUUUUUAAAAUUUACGCUGUUCCCCAAAAGCCGAUGACAAUGUCUGGGAAACAACUUGAUUCUACCUUCUAAUUUUCCUUCCCUUUUAUUAACAAAAUCACAACAUGACUAGGUCACAAACCAGUAAAUUGCAUUUGACAGCUGAAUGUCACUGUUACCUGUAGGUAAUGGUCUCUUCUGCCUGGCACAUACACAGUAGGCAUGUACCAAUUAUUUAAUGGAUAAAUAAGUUAAAUUAUAACACUUUCAUGGCUGGCUUAAUCCUGUAAGUAAUAAUUGACUUAUAUUACCUCUUAUCACCUGAUUGUUUUCUCAUGAUUGUUUUUAGCUAGUGAAGUGGUUUCAGACAUUGGAAAGAAGUAGAGUAUUGUUUAUGAAACCAUAGAUGGCCUGGAUGGGAGACUGAAUUGGAAUCCUUGAUUCCCAGUACAGAGAAGGCCCUUGAUAUUUAAGAAUAAAAAUAACAGCUGAGCUUUAUGUCAUGUGUUUAAUGCCAUGACCAUAAAGCCAUUACUGUAACGCCUACGUUUAUUUUCUUAAGGAAGCCGCUGAACCGCCCUCAGAAUGGCUUAGUUUUUAGUGACUAUGGUUUUCCUUUGGGACCUCGAUUCCAAGAAGACGCAGUUUUGUCAAAGGCUCUUUCAUCCUGUUUCUUUAAAAAAAAGUACCCUGCAAUAGGUAAAACAUCUUUAGAUAGAAAAAGUAGUCAGCCUACACCAAAUCUUCCCCUACCUCCUUCCUCUUUCAUUUCCCACUUGUGCUUGUGUACUACUAACUAUAUUGAGGGUACAUGGCCACUAAGGUUUAAGGUUUUUUGAGAGCAGGGGCUGUAUCAUAUUUACUUUCACUUUUCCUUCUGUGCUUAAAACAGGACUUCUACUUCUUCAGCAAAUAUUCGUUGAGUAUCCACUAGGUGUCAGAUAUACUAGGUAGAGUCUGGGGAUACCAAGAUAACUAAACAGGGACACAGGGAGAUGCCCUUUGGAAUCUAACAGUCUUAUGUGGGAGAGGGGAAAAAUGGAUCUGUAAGCCAAAAAAAGCUACAGUAUAAUACUACAGUGGAUAGAUGAUUUCCCGGUUUAAAAAUUCUAAAAUCUCUGAAAAUAUCUCUCCACGAAAUUUGAUUGAGCAACUAAAUUUCUACCACUAGAAUAUUAUUCUUUAUAAGACCAGCGUUGCAUUUUGGUUGCCCCUAAAGGUUAUUAAUGGGCUAUAAAAUGAUAUUUUUCCCCCUCUUAAAACAUUUUAAUUUUUAAAUUUACAUAGUAAGAUUCACUCUUUUUGAUGUAUAAUUCUGAGUUUUCACAAAUGCCAAAUCAUGUAAUAACCAUAAUUGAGAUAUGGAACAGUUCUACCACCUCCCAAAAUUCUCUUGUGCUGCCCCUUUUUAUAAUUUGUUGUGACAAAAAAUAAUUUUAUUCUUCAAAAAUUAUUGUUUGAAUGUUCCAUGUAUUCAAAAAAAAAUAUGUGGCGUUCCCGCUGUGGCACAGUGCAUUCAGAAUUCAACAGCAGGGAGUUCUCGUGGCACAGCAGAAACAAAUCCUACUAGUAUGCGUAAGAAUGCUGAUUUGAUCCCUGGCCUCACUCUAGCAUUGCCGUGAACUGUGGUGUAGGUCACAAAUUCGGCUCGAAUCCCACAUUGCUGUGGCUGUGGUGUAGGUGGAUUUGCCCCCUGGCCUGGGAACUUACAUAUACUGCAGGUGUGGCUCUAAAAAAAAAAAAAAAAAAA